AUAUUUGUAUCACAUUAGGGAGGAAACAUGCCUUCCUUAUUUUUUUUAAAAGAGACAUGAAUAUAAAAAUUACAUUUGUAACAAAACAAAGCAGACGAUGUCUGACAUCAAUGCAGAAAAGUGUCCAAUAAGAAUAACUGUUACAAAAAUACGUCGGAAGUUUUCAUUCCACCAUUAUUCCGAAGGCUCAUAUGGGGGACGAAAUAAAUUGACCUGACACGUAACCAAAUUUCUGUUUUAUUAUCACAGAAACAUUAUUUACAGAGAGGGGCGUGGUAAAUUUGCUGAAAAGUAUCCCAUCGGGUUGUCUAGAAAUUUUAAGGAUGGAUCCUCAAGUUAUCCUGAUAGGAAUCGUUGCCUUUGUUGUCUCAGCUGUGCUGAUAUAUCUUAUAUCUGCAUUUGGAUUCAAAGAGAAGUCUUACGAGGAGGCUAUAGCUGAACAGAAGAAGAGACUAGAAGCUGAGCAAGAUAAGGUUAGAAAAGAAAAGAAAGCUGAGAAAGAAAAGAAAAAGGGAAAGAAAGGUAAAGAAAAGCCAAAGGAAAAGAAUGUGCAACAGGUAAAUGAUCCAGAGCAUGAGAGAAAAAUGGUAAACUUGGAAAUUGAACCAGAAAUUAUUGAACCACAAGCAAGCAGUGACCAGGAAAGUAAACCAAAGUCAAAGACAAAGAAAAGCCCAAAACCCAUACUGUUAAACAAGGACGAAAAGUCGAAAGUUGCACCUCAAAUGCAAGAGACAAUUCAUUUUAAAGCAGUUCCAAAAGAUGAGGUAGAAUUACUCCAUGAACACGAAAAAGAAAGGAAAACAUCACUUAGCAAACCAAAGAAAGAAGAAAAGGUUAAGAUUGACACGAAAGAAGCAAAAAAAGCACAGCCAGUUGUAGAGGACAUGGUUAUAGUGCAAACUCAGAAACUUCAAGCUGCAGCACUAACUCCAGAGAGGAAAGCUAAGAAAGCAUUAGAAAAUGAUGUCAGGCAGUUAGUAUCAUCAAUUCAAAGUGCAUCAUUAAAUGAUGGGGAAAUACAAAAACUGAUUGAAAUUCUCCUGAACAGACAGAGUGGAACUGAACAAUCCACAACUAUUGAAUCAUGGAAUAAGAAAGGCCAGAAAGGUGAUCCAAUUGCACUGUUAAAAAGACAGCUUGAAGAGAAAGAAAAAGGAUUGCAAGAAGAACAACAAUUGGCAAUGUCUAGCAAUAACAAGUACAAAGAGCUGAAACAGGAAGUACAGAAAGAUAAAGCCAGAUUUGCUUCAAUUGAGAAACAGUACCAAGAGAAAGUUGCCGGCAAAGAACAGGAAUUCCAAGCCUUGCAGUUGAGAAUGCAAACAGCUAUCAAUGAAAAUAUGGCUGAUAGAAAUAAAACCCAGGCCAGAAUUCAGCAACUUGAAAGGCAAUGUGGAGAUCAGAGUAGAUAUACACAGCUUGUUGAGGAAAACAAAAAAUUGAAAGAGCAAUAUGAAAGAGUCAAGGCUGAAGCUGUACCUCAAGCAGAAUUUAUCAAUUUGAGACAAAAGGUUUCCAUAAUGGAAAAUGAAUUGUCAAAUAAUUGUUCUAAAUUGAAUGUUAGUGAAAAUGCAAAAAGAGCACUGGAGACUAAACUUUCUAAAUAUGAAGAAGAAAAGAAGAAAUUAAUUGGAGUACAGGGUGAUAGUGACGGUGUUUGGACAAAGAGGGUAGAAGAGGUUAAUCAGCAGUUAAGAAAGAGUGAGGCAGAGAAAAAUAAUUUAUCAAAGAACUUGAAGGCUGCAGAGAAAGAAUGUUCCGAUGUUAAGAGUCAACUACAGGAUCUUAACAAAGCCUUAUCAGGAAAUGAUAAUGUGUCAAAGGAAUUAGAAGUCAAGUUAAAGGGAGCUGAACAAGAUAAAAGUUUAUUAGAGACAUCCUUAAAAGCUGUUGAAAAGAAGCUUGCAGAAAUUGAAAAAGAAAAGGAUACAGCUCAAAAAGAAAAAUCUGAAUUUCAAACAGAACUGAAGAAAAUUCAAGAAGAAAAGAAAAGGUUGGAUGAUGAAGUCAAAAUGACAAAAGAGAAAUUAGUGAAGUCAGAAGAAUCUGCUAAAACAGCAUCUGCACCAAAUGGAGACAUACAUAAUGGAACAAGUGGAAACAAAAUUACAAUGGUUGAUCACGAAAAAAUAGUAUCAGAGAAAACAGUUGAGGUGAAGAAAUUAUCAACAGAAGUUGAAACUAAAAAGAAAGAAAUUACAAAGAUACAGGAUCAGCUAACAUCACAGAAAAAUGAAGUGAAUAAUAUGCAAGAACAAUUAAAAUCUUUGAAGAAUGAAAAUUCAAAUCUCAAGAGUCAAUUCGACAACCAAACUAAAGAACUGUCUAGUGUCAAGGCAGAUAUUGGGAAGAAACAGUCUGCAGUGUCAUCAGAAACUGAACAGCUGAAAAAACUUCAAGCUGAAAUUGAUGCACAAAAGAAAAAGAAUAAUGACUUAAGAGAAAAGAAUUGGAAAGCAAUGGAUGCUUUAGAUAAAACUGAAAAGUCUUGUUCUGACAAAGUUCAGAAAGCAGUUAAAGAAACAAAGGAAGAAUUGAGUAUGGUCACAAAUGCACAAAGGACAGACCAGGCAUUACUUCAGAGGUUGUUUCCUGAUGUUAAAGUUAGUGAGAAAUUAGUUCAUAAAGACUGGAUGUCCACAUUUGAAAAAGAAGUCCAGAUAUAUUUAGCCACUGUCAAGUCACAAAAAGGAAGUGCCAAAUCAGAUGAUUCUUCAAAAUUAAUAGAAGACAACAAAAGAUUAGAGUCCCAAGUUGACGAGUUCAAAACAGUUUUACAGACUACAGAAAAUAAAUUACAGCAAUUGGAGAAUAGCGUUGAAGGUGAAGAAAGAAAGUGGCAACAGAAGUUACAAGAAUUACAAUUAGAUCUUGAGCAGUCGCGGCAAGACAAUUCAACAUUAAAGGUUGAAUUAGAAAAAUCUAAAGGCAGUGCAGAGGCAUUAGGUGAAUUGGACUUUGCUUAUCGAUGUUUAGAGAAAAGUAUAACAAAAAUUACAGAUGAGAUGACAGAAAAGGUCACAGGUUUAGAAGAUAGACUUAAAGAUUCAGAAGACAGAUGUUUACAGUUACAAAAUAAGGCAAAGGAGGCUGAAGUGAGAAUCUCAUCAUUAGAAGAAGAACUUCAUGAAAAGAAUAAUAUUACACAAAAUUUAGAUGAUUUACUAAAGAAAAUAGAAGAACUCAAGAAGAGUAAUAAAGAUUUGGCCUCUACAAAUGUACGGCUAAAUGGUAUCAUAAAAACUGGUCAAGAUUCUUUAUCCAAAGAAACAGAGUUAGUCAAUGAGCUACGCAAACAGAUAGAAGCAAGAAACAAGUCAUCCGGUGCAACACCUAGUCAAGAAAAUGAAGAUUUGAAGAAAAAGUUAGCUGAUGCAGAAAAACAGCUAGAUAAAGAAAUCACAGCAAAUAAACAGAUGUCACAGAAAUUGAGUGAAUCUACGGAGCCCAAGUCUGAAACCUGAUUUGACAGGCUCAAUUAGGGGUUAUGUAGAUUCCUGCUUAGAAUUUCUCAUUGCCAUUUUGCAGCUGCUUCAAAUGACCUGGGUACACAGGUGUAAGCUGCUAAUUAUGGAGGACCAGAAAAACAACUUUAAACAGACAUAAUCUUUCUUGUAGUUGUUAGAAUGUUGCAUUAUGUUUAUCCACUGUAUUUAUUAUAAAGGAAAGGAUUUCACAAGCAAGAUAAACUGUCCAUUAUACAAUAUCUAACUGUGAUUAUUUAUAAUUUUCUCAUGUAUGUAUAUGCCUGAAUUUAAAUCUGAUAUAUAAUUUAGAUUCAAGUUCAUUCAACUGAUGAAAGGAAAAUCAAGAAAAACUGUAAAAUUGCAAAAAUAAAUUGCCAUUAUCAUAAAUAUAGUUUAUCAAGGCAUUUGCUACUACGCAUUAAGUAGAAUUAUUGAUUUAAACCAGUUUGAGUGACAUUUCAUCAUGGUUAACAAAAAAUUACAACAGAAAUAUUAUCAUUGAUCCAUGACACAUUGAUAAGAUAUAAAAUCUAUAAAUAAAUUUAAUAAAAAUAACAAGUACAACCAAAAAAGGAUGUUAAAAGAAAAUUAUAUUUAUUUAUAUAAAAUUAGUGCUUAAUUUUGCAAUAAUUUUGGUGUUUGUGUGCCAUUUAAUGUUGUUCUAUCACUACCAAGACAUAAUUGUGAAAAGUUGUUGGUUUUCUUAAGAAAAACCUCUGCCAUGUGCAAUAUAUAACAAUCAUGGAUAAACUGAAGAAAAUUGUUUACAUUAAAUGUGAACAUACUAACAACAAUCUAAUAUACACUUAACUGAAGAAAAAGGAUUGAUAUUUAAUAAACUAUUCAAUGAAGCCAGUUAUAAACAAUGUUGUAUCUUGACUAAUGAUUUUUCUCAAUUUAAUUCAUGUUAUAAGAUUUUAUGACAGGUUUUUGAUAAAACUAAAAAGCAUUGGUUUACAUUUUGGGCUUUCACUUUGUUGUAACUAAUACAUGUAUAUUAUGCAUUAUCUGAAAUCAAAAUGAAAUUAUAUAAUUAAAGUCAAGUGGAUUUAAUUGGAAUCCUACGAAUGCUUAUAUUUUUAACAUAAAUGAAUUCUGUCUAUGGAUAUCACUAAAAUGUGGUUAUAAAUGAUAGAUUGGUGAAAUCUUAUUUUUUUAUCAUAGAUGUUUAUUAAAGUCAUAUAAAACUUCAAGAUUAAAAGGCACAAUCCAAAAUGUUGAAUUAAAAAAAUCAUUGUAAAUGAACAUUUCAAGAUGUUGAUUAAACUUUUACAUUUGUAUCACCAAAUAGCAGCAAAUUACUUCAGCUUUCCCUAAAGAAUGAUGAAAUAAGAACCCAGUUAAAGUGCUAUGUUUAUUUUUCACUAUUCUUGUAUUUACAUUAAACAUCAUUUAUCAAUCCAUCAAUCUAAGGUCAACACAUAGAUUAAAUGUCAUACAGAUGUACAAUAUGCACUCCAAAUCAAAUCUUUUUUAAAAUUCUAGCUCAUAAAUGUUGUAGAGUAAGUGAACUUUGAAAAAAGAAAGUGCCUAAUGUUAAUUGUUUGCAAAAUUAUUUACACAUACUUUAAGUAUAGAUUUUCUUCUUUGACAUUAUAUGUUCAUUUGUUGUUGGGUUUCUGUCACCUUGACAUUAACCUCUUUAUCUUCUUUUUGUUGGCAUUAAAGCAAAAAUUUAUUUUUGUCAAUAAAAAAACUUAUUUUACAAAGUAUAUGUAAUAAAUUUAUACUAUAACAAAAUUAUAAGAAUAUAAAUUGCAUAUAACCUCAUAUUUCUUUUAAUCAUUUGUAUCUCACAACUUGCACUGCAAACUAAUUAUAUAUCCUUCACAGUUAGGCUAGGCUAAGCACGUUAUUAUUUUAUUCACUCAUUGUAAAAGUGUUCAUCUAGUCAUAUGUUAUUUUUGUUUUUAUGGUUUUCUUGUUUUGUUUUGAUGGGACAGCUUUAAUUUACUUAUUAUACAGUCAGUUUCAAUAAUAACUUGGAAUAAAGUGUAAAAUUGAGUAAAUAUCAUAAGCAAAUCCAAUGAAUCAUACCAGAUUAAUAUAAGAGCACGUUUUUAUUACAUAUCACCAGCUUAAAUGAGCAAUAUCAUGUCAACAUGAAGAUUGCAGUUUUUGUUUUAUUGGAGAUAGUAUUGAUAGCCAAACAAGGGAUAAUUUCAUGAUACAACUCUAUUAAACUACCCAAUAAAAGCCAACUAAAAUUGGUAUUAUCUUUAACGUUCAUCUCAAUUGUUUUUUAUUCACGAGUUUCAUAAGCCAAAUACAUAUCAUCAACUCUUAUCAGUAUGUUUCCAAUCAUUUACUGCUGUUAAUGUAUUUCUAUCCCCUUGAAUCAAUUGUUUCCUUUACUUGGCUUACAAGGACUUCAUCAUUUUUGGCAUUACAUGUAGAUUUUAGUAAAUGGCUGCACAUUUAAACAUAUCCUCAAUCGAAACCUCACAUCUUAAUGAUCUAGGCACACUCAUGCACAGUGUAUUUAAGACUAUCAAUCCUUAUUUUUUUAUACUUCGCUUUUCUUUGGUCAGUUUUCUUAUUUUAUUUUACAAGUAUAUGUGCUAAUAGUUCUAUUUUUAAGUCAUUUUGUAACUUAAUCCAAAAUUGACUCUUAUUUGAAAUUCUAUUUGUAUUAAGUUACUUUUUAUUAUGGAGUGCAAGUAUAGAUUUAUCAAAUGGUUCAUUGCUAUGCAGAGCAAUGAAGAAAUCACAAUAAAAAGUUAUUUAUAGCUGCCACUUCCAGGAUCUUCAAAUGGAUUAUACAAUUGUUUAAAGUUCAAAUACCAUAUUUUAUACAAACCUGAUAUUGCAUGCAAAUUAAAGGAGAAUAAGUGAAAGCUUUAUGCAUCUCUUACCGGAGCAAAUCCUUGCAGCCAAACAGUUCUACUCCCAUUAAAUGAAUGUAAUAAGAGUCAAUUAAGGAAUCAGAAAACUUAAAGAGCAAUAAGGUUUCAUGUUCAUACAAGUUUUAUGUAUUUACAUACACAAUUCAAGACAGAACGUUAGAAACUUAUGGCACCUUUAGCAAGAACUUUUAUAAUUCUGUAACGUCAGUAUGCUUGAACCCUUUUACAUUUCGCUUAUUUUUCGAAGAUGACAUAGAUGUUGUAUAUGUGACUUAGUUUGAUAUUUUUUUUGAAAGGGCUCAUUAAAGUUUGUUUAUAUAUUUGAUUAAUAUAUGAAAAGUCGAACAUAAUCAUUUGUCAUAACAUUUUUAUAAAAUGAUCAGAAUAAGCUAGCUUUUGAUCAAUUUCAACUUUAAGAAAAUAUAUGCACUUUUGUAUAUGAUACCAACAGCCAAAUAAGAAGCCCAAAAUAGUUUACUCAUUUCAUUGAAAUAAAUCGAAAACAACCUUUUCAUCAUCUUCUGAAACAUUGCUUAAUUCAACAUUGGUUCAAAAUUACUGAGAGAAAAGUUUAAGGUGACCUUGAGCAAAGGGCAUCUGCUAAUAUUGAUAUUAAGUGACCUCUGACUGUAUAUAAAGAUAAGUUAUGUUAUUGUAAGUCCCAUCAGCGAUUUAUUUUCUGUCUUCCAUGUUUUGUUGUACUUUGCUAGUUCAGCAUCCAAGAUGUUGAUUUAUCUAAGGUUGUAUCUCAUUAUGUAAAUAUCUUAUUUCCACUGCCUUUUUACACUUUCAAGGUUCCUCAUGGUACAUGGAUACCAAUUUCAAUGUCUGCUGUAUAUAACUGGCUUAAUUUCAAAUUUCACUCCUAUCUUUGUAGUGGAUCAUGUUUCAGAUUUCACUGCUAUCUUUGUAGUGGAUCAUAAUUCAAUAAAAAGGUUUUGUUAACUUUUAACGGAAAAUUGAAUUUCAAAAGUGACUUUUAAAUCUAUAAUAUUGAUAUGUUAAAUAUGUGCAAGAUCACAUGAAAAUAUUGCAUGUAUAAGUGACAAACAGUUUUCUUGAGAUAAUUAUUUUAUUCCACCAAAACAUCAUAUACAGUAUUAUAAUGAGAAAAUGAAUUAUUGUAUCUGUGUAGCUUGGCAAGACAUGAAAUCAGUAGGAAAUCUACAGAAAAAAAGUAAUGUUUUAAAUUAGUUAAUAAAUUGAAUAGUACAGUGUAGUUAUAUGGGCUAAAGAGUUUGCUACAUUGUAUAGUUAGCUUAUUGUUGCUGUUAUGUUACUGUCUCAUGUAAUGUGAUAAACAUUUUGUUUUCAUUAAGAUAGGAAUCGGUUAAGGAUAAUUAUAUGGAAAGGACCACAAUGUAUUUAUCAGAGAUGUAACAAAAUAAACUUCAUUCAGUUUA